rnacentral:rRNA from 1 species
UACGUAGGGGGCAAGCGUUAUCCGGAUUUACUGGGUGUAAAGGGAGCGUAGACGGCAUUGCAAGCCAGAUGUGAAAGCCCGGGGCUCAACCCCGGGACUGCAUUUGGAACUGCAGAGCUAGAGUGUCGGAGAGGCAAGUGGAAUUCCUAGUGUAGCGGUGAAAUGCGUAGAUAUUAGGAGGAACACCAGUGGCGAAGGCGGCUUGCUGGACGAUGACUGACGUUGAGGCUCGAAAGCGUGGGGAGCAAACAGG